rnacentral:rRNA from 1 species
CGCUGGCGGCGGCCUACACAUGCAAGUCGAGCGGUAACAGGAGAACCUUGCUUCUCGUUGACGAGCGGCGGACGGGUGAGUAAUGUGUGGGGAUCUCCCCUAUAAAUGGGAAUACUCCCGGAAACCGGAGCUUAUAACCGAUA